AAAUUGAAGAGUUUGAUCAUGGCUCAGAUUGAACGCUGGCGGCAGGCCUAACACAUGCAAGUCGAACGGUAACAGGAAUCAGCUUGCUGAUUCGCUGACGAGUGGCGGACGGGUGAGUAAUGUCUGGGAAACUGCCUGAUGGAGGGGGAUAACUACUGGAAACGGUAGCUAAUACCGCAUAACGUCGCAAGACCAAAGAGGGGGACCUUCGGGCCUCUUGCCAUCAGAUGUGCCCAGAUGGGAUUAGCUAGUAGGUGGGGUAACGGCUCACCUAGGCGACGAUCCCUAGCUGGUCUGAGAGGAUGACCAGCCACACUGGAACUGAGACACGGUCCAGACUCCUACGGGAGGCAGCAGUGGGGAAUAUUGCACAAUGGGCGCAAGCCUGAUGCAGCCAUGCCGCGUGUAUGAAGAAGGCCUUCGGGUUGUAAAGUACUUUCAGCGGGGAGGAAGGGAGUAAAGUUAAUACCUUUGCUCAUUGACGUUACCCGCAGAAGAAGCACCGGCUAACUCCGUGCCAGCAGCCGCGGUAAUACGGAGGGUGCAAGCGUUAAUCGGAAUUACUGGGCGUAAAGCGCACGCAGGCGGUUUGUUAAGUCAGAUGUGAAAUCCCCGGGCUCAACCUGGGAACUGCAUCUGAUACUGGCAAGCUUGAGUCUCGUAGAGGGGGGUAGAAUUCCAGGUGUAGCGGUGAAAUGCGUAGAGAUCUGGAGGAAUACCGGUGGCGAAGGCGGCCCCCUGGACGAAGACUGACGCUCAGGUGCGAAAGCGUGGGGAGCAAACAGGAUUAGAUACCCUGGUAGUCCACGCCGUAAACGAUGUCGACUUGGAGGUUGUGCCCUUGAGGCGUGGCUUCCGGAGCUAACGCGUUAAGUCGACCGCCUGGGGAGUACGGCCGCAAGGUUAAAACUCAAAUGAAUUGACGGGGGCCCGCACAAGCGGUGGAGCAUGUGGUUUAAUUCGAUGCAACGCGAAGAACCUUACCUGGUCUUGACAUCCACGGAAGUUUUCAGAGAUGAGAAUGUGCCUUCGGGAACCGUGAGACAGGUGCUGCAUGGCUGUCGUCAGCUCGUGUUGUGAAAUGUUGGGUUAAGUCCCGCAACGAGCGCAACCCUUAUCCUUUGUUGCCAGCGGUCCGGCCGGGAACUCAAAGGAGACUGCCAGUGAUAAACUGGAGGAAGGUGGGGAUGACGUCAAGUCAUCAUGGCCCUUACGACCAGGGCUACACACGUGCUACAAUGGCGCAUACAAAGAGAAGCGACCUCGCGAGAGCAAGCGGACCUCAUAAAGUGCGUCGUAGUCCGGAUUGGAGUCUGCAACUCGACUCCAUGAAGUCGGAAUCGCUAGUAAUCGUGGAUCAGAAUGCCACGGUGAAUACGUUCCCGGGCCUUGUACACACCGCCCGUCACACCAUGGGAGUGGGUUGCAAAAGAAGUAGGUAGCUUAACCUUCGGGAGGGCGCUUACCACUUUGUGAUUCAUGACUGGGGUGAAGUCGUAACAAGGUAACCGUAGGGGAACCUGCGGUUGGAUCACCUCCUUA
rnacentral:rRNA from 1 species